rnacentral:rRNA from 1 species
CCUACGGGAGGCUGCAGUGGGGGAUAUUGCACAAUGGGGGAAACCCUGAUGCAGCGACGCCGCGUGGGUGAAGAAGUAUUUCGGUAUGUAAAGCCCUAUCAGCAGGGAAGAAAGAAGACGGUACCUGACUAAGAAGCCCCGGCUAACUACGUGCCAGCAGCCGCGGUAAUACGUAGGGGGCGAGCGUUAUCCGGAUUCACUGGGUGUAAAGGGAGCGUAGACGGCCGUGCAAGCCAGGAGUGAAAGCCCGGGGCCCAACCCCGGGACUGCUCUUGGAACUGGGCGGCUGGAGUGCGGGAGGGGCAGGCGGAAUUCCUGGUGUAGCGGUGAAAUGCGUAGAUAUCAGGAGGAACACCGGCGGCGAAGGCGGCCUGCUGGACCGCGACUGACGUUGAGGCUCGAAAGCGUGGGGAGCGAACAGGAUUAGAUACCCCUGUAGUC